GGGUGAGGGAGGCUCACACUCCCAUUAGGGUGUACAUUUUAUAAAGAACCGGCUAAUUCCAAGUGUAGUAAUGUGUGCGAGGUAAUAAUACUCCAUGGGUUUUUACAACAUCCCAGGUGUGGUGUGGAAAGCCUCGCAGGCAUGAUCUUAUUCAAUCCUGACAAGGGCUCUGAGAGACACAGACCGUUCGUGCCAAUUUAGAAUUGAGGGGUAGAGGCUGAGAAAGGUCCGGGGACUUAACCAAGGUGAUACAGAGGGAGAGGCCUUUUGAUUGCAGAACCCAUGCUCUAAUUAUGCGGAAACUAUAGAAUAUUAUAAAGUAGAAAAGGAAGAUCACCUGUAAUCCCAUUGCUCAAGGUAAUCAUCCAUAAUGAACAUUCUCAUUGGCUCUUUUAUGUUUUCACCUUCUCUUCUCUGUGGAUUUGCUUCACAUUUUGGUCAGUUAGCCUCCCACCAGAAGUACUUUCUCGUUCUAUUUAAUGUUCAUUUGCCCAGCAAAUCCAUAUGGGGAGCCUGCUCUGGGCCAAGAACACAUGCUUUAAAAACAUCAUUUUUGACAACGGUUGAAGGUCAUGCUGGUGGACACCAAUUCUGUUCACUGCCCUCCUGUUAACAUGAAUUUGUUUCCAGUAUCUUCCUACAGGAACGUUGCAGUGAGCAUUCUUACACCCGAGUCCCUUUCACAUUUAGGAAAUUCUUUUAAAGAAAUAAUCAGACAGGUGUCAUUAUUGGGUCAGAGUAUGGGUUUAUUGACGACAUCUGAGGCAUUGGAGGGAUGCUGUGAAAUUAGUUUCCAAUUCACACGCCCUCAACUGUCUAUGAAAGGAACAGUCACAUUGUGGAUGAGAAGCUGAUGGCAAUCAAACAUUUUCUGAUUCUUUUGCAGUUUGCUUAAUUAAUCUGGAUAUUACUUAAAGUGUUAGUCUUCCUUCUUCAAAUAUCAUAGAAAGCAAAAAUUCAUCUGAAUUAAACCUAUCUUUAAUAACCUGUGGGAAGAACUAACAAUUUUACUCCUAAAUCUUUCUAUGCAGAAACAUUGGUGCUUCCCCUUGUGUUUAAAUCUUUUCUUCCACAGUAAAAUUUUAUAAUUUUGUUCUUUUUUAAACCUUUGUUAAAUUUUUUAAAAUUUUUGUUGUUUUUAUCCUGUGGGAAGUAUUUCAAGCUGGUUUAUGGUUUUUGUCGCAACCGUGGACAUGCCGCCCUCCGGUUUCCCCCCCGCCACAGCUAGUGAACCUUUAUUCAUUCGUUCAUUCGUUCAUUCAUUCCAGAAGUAUUUGUUGAGUGCUUACUCUGUCAGGGUCUGCCGUGAGCCGGGGCUCGGGGAGGACAACGAAAUAGGCCUGGGGCCAGCUCGCAGGGAGUAGAUGGUGUAAUUGCAAAGAGGAACUUCGCAAGCCUGACUAGCAAUGGACGGAAGGUGGUUGGGCCUAGAGGUGCUGAAGGACAUGGAGCAGAGGAUGCGCCCGGGCAGGAGGGGCUCCCCGGGAAGGAGACGACGCUACGGCAAAUUUGGGAGCAUCUGAAAGUACGGCCCCAUCUUGAAGAACUCGGUUGAGUUGGUACAUGGAUGACUUUGGCAGGGGUCAGCAAGCGCUCUGUGUCAGACCGGACAGCAG